UCGGGAAUCUUGCACAAUGGGCGAAAGCCUGAUGCAGCAACACCGUGUGAGCGAGGAAGGUCUUCGGAUCGUAAAGCUCUGUUGUUGGGGACGAAGGGCGAAGGGUUAAUAGCCCCUAGCCUGACGGUACCCUUCGAGGAAGCCCCGGCUAACUACGUGCCAGCAGCCGCGGUAAUACGUAGGGGGCGAGCGUUGUCCGGAAUUAUUGGGCGUAAAGAGCGUGUAGGCGGCCUGGUAAGUCUGCCGAGAUAACUUGGGGCUCAACCCUGCGCGUGCGGUGGAUUCUGCGAGGCUAGAGAAUGGAAGUGGCGAGUGGAAUACCAGGUGUAGCGGUGAAAUUCGCAGAUAUCAGGAGGAAAAACAGUAGCGAAGGCGGCUCGGUGGGUCAUUCCUGACGCUGAGACGCGAAAGCAUGUGGAGCGAAAAGGAUUAGAUACCCCCGUAGUCC
rnacentral:rRNA from 1 species